rnacentral:lncRNA from 1 species
UCCUCACCCAACCACCUGACCUCUGACCUCUCUCUCUCUCUGCCUUCGCUUACCUUAGCCGCGGCUCGCCACCUCUCGCCGUCGCCGCUCCCGCUUUUUCGUUUGUCUUGAUGGCGUCCCGCGCGGCGGUGCUGCUCGUGGCCGUGGCGGCCGUGCUGUUCGCCGCGGCGUCGGCGCAGGAGAUGGACCUAGGCGUGCCGCCCGCGCCGGCGCCCGUCACUGGCGCGGCUGCGGGUGCCGCGGCGUCGGCCCUCGCCGUGGCGUGCUCGGUCGUGCUCUCCAUCGUCGUCGCGGGUGGACUCAUGCAGUAGGUCCCGCUGCGGCCGUGGUGGCGGCGGUUCCCGGCGGAUUCGGGGUCAGGUUGGACCCUGCUUGUUUAUGCCUUAGCUAGUAGUAGUAGUGGUGGCAGUGAUGGAUGAUGGGUUGUGUGAUUGUUCCUGAUGAGUCGCCGUUGUGAUCUGUGUUAUUGCUUAUUCUUUUGUACCAUACCGCAUUGUUGGAUGUAUAUCUCUCCUGUUGAGGCGUGUGUUCUAUGAAUAAAGACGAUGGACCUCGUUCGCUCGUCAGGUGGCUUUCUUUGUUCGAGGUGUUCUCUUCAUAGCACUUGUAGACAACACACUACUUUGUGUUCUAUGCCUUGGAUACGGUUUUGGAGAGUACUGGGUAGUAACUAGGACCAGCAAGAGAUCUUUAAGCAGUU